rnacentral:rRNA from 1 species
ACGGGGAGCAGCCCAGAGCCUGAAUCAGUAUGUGUGUUAGUGGAAGCGUCUGGAAAGGCGCGCGAUACAGGGUGACAGCCCCGUACACAAAAAUGCACAUGCUGUGAGCUCGAUGAGUAGGGCGGGACACGUGGUAUCCUGUCUGAAUAUGGGGGGACCAUCCUCCAAGGCUAAAUACUCCUGACUGACCGAUAGUGAACCAGUACCGUGAGGGAAAGGCGAAAAGAACCCCGGCGAGGGGAGUGAAAAAGAACCUGAAACCGUGUACGUACAAGCAGUGGGAGCACGCUUAGGCGUGUGACUGCGUACCUUUUGUAUAAUGGGUCAGCGACUUAUAUUCUGUAGCAAGGUUAACCGAAUAGGGGAGCCGAAGGGAAACCGAGUCUUAACUGGGCGUUAAGUUGCAGGGUAUAGACCCGAAACCCGGUGAUCUAGCCAUGGGCAGGUUGAAGGUUGGGUAACACUAACUGGAGGACCGAACCGACUAAUGUUGAAAAAUUAGCGGAUGACUUGUGGCUGGGGGUGAAAGGCCAAUCAAACCGGGAGAUAGCUGGUUCUCCCCGAAAGCUAUUUAGGUAGCGCCUCGUGAAUUCAUCUCCGGGGGUAGAGCACUGUUUCGGCAAGGGGGUCAUCCCGACUUACCAACCCGAUGCAAACUGCGAAUACCGGAGAAUGUUAUCACGGGAGACACACGGCGGGUGCUAACGUCCGUCGUGAAGAGGGAAACAACCCAGACCGCCAGCUAAGGUCCCAAAGUCAUGGUUAAGUGGGAAACGAUGUGGGAAGGCCCAGACAGCCAGGAUGUUGGCUUAGAAGCAGCCAUCAUUUAAAGAAAGCGUAAUAGCUCACUGGUCGAGUCGGCCUGCGCGGAAGAUGUAACGGGGCUAAACCAUGCACCGAAGCUGCGGCAGCGACGCUGAUGCGUUGUUGGGUAGGGGAGCGUUCUGUAAGCCUGCGAAGGUGUGCUGUGAGGCAUGCUGGAGGUAUCAGAAGUGCGAAUGCUGACAUAAGUAACGAUAAAGCGGGUGAAAAGCCCGCUCGCCGGAAGACCAAGGGUUCCUGUCCAACGUUAAUCGGGGCAGGGUGAGUCGACCCCUAAGGCGAGGCCGAAAGGCGUAGUCGAUGGGAAACAGGUUAAUAUUCCUGUACUUGGUGUUACUGCGAAGGGGGGACGGAGAAGGCUAUGUUGGCCGGGCGACGGUUGUCCCGGUUUAAGCGUGUAGGCUGGUUUUCCAGGCAAAUCCGGAAAAUC